rnacentral:lncRNA from 1 species
AAGAAGGUCGUCAAGGAGUCUUUGGUUUUGCAUUCCUUGGUUUUACAUUAAUUUCAAGAAGGCAUAAUGGAACAGUAUGCAUUGUAAUCACAUAAACACUAGGAUAACAUCUGUUCAUUCAAACAUUCAACAGGCAGAGAUCGCAAGUUGCUAAACUUCAGAACAUAUUUUUUUAACAGAACAAGCCCCCUAAAGCCUAAAGCUUUCCAACCUCAAACACAUAUAAACACCUUAAUACCUUUACAUCCAACAACAACCAAAAGACAGUAUAAUGGAACAAUGGUCUUAACAAAAAUAGUGUCAAAAAGGCAGAGUUUUCACCUUUUUUAGAGUAGGAACGGGAACUUCGAAACUCGUCCGAACAACUCCCACCAUAAUUUCUAGUUGCUAUUAGGAUUUCAAUGAUUUUUGAUGGGUUUUUUUAUAAUGCUCCGAAGAUGUCUUGGUUACGUAGGGUUAGAGGUGCGCACCUCCAGAACCCUCACUUAUUUUUGACGAAAAAACUCCUCCCACCCUUGUCCCUUGCUAUCUAUUUAUAAGGAAAGUUAGGGUUUUGAAAGAGUAUAAUUCAAACCCAAAAAUUCAAAAUUAUUCCAAAAAAUUUUGAUAUCCAUAGUGAGACAAAGGGCCUUUGUUCUCAAGAAUCAGUAGAGAGGUAGAGAAAAAGAGUUGUUUGGCUUUGAAAAGGGGACGUUGGCUAUGUUGGUCAAAUGGGUGAAUUAACUUUUUCCCAAAAUAGUGAGUCAUGGGCUGAAAAUUGUUAAAGCCUUCUGAAUUUUGGCCAUGAAUGAAUAAACCAUGAGGGCAAAAUGGUAAAUAGGGGCAAUUUUUGGUAUUGUCAUUGGUUGACCGUCGUUGUUGCUGCUUUGUUAUUACAACGUUGAGAUUGUACAUUGUUUUUGUUGCUUUAUGAAAUUGCUGGUGUGGUUGUUGUUGGUUGUAUGUGGUUUUUGGAUUGUUGUUAUUGUCGCUUUUCGUUGUUGAAAUUGAUACGACGUUUGUUGUUGUUAUUUGUGUAUUGUCAUUGUUUUGUAGUUAGGUGGAAAGAAGAAUAGGGGGUGUGGAUCAGGUAUGGAUGUGGUUUUAAUGUUAGGCCGGGUGUUGGCCGGUGAGAGCUAUUGGGCCGCUAGUGUUGUUAAUGGCUGGCCCAAUUUAGGUGAGAAAAAAGGGUUGAUGAUGUUUUUUGAUAGUGUUGUUGGGCCUGUUUUAAAGAAGGUGGACUGGUGUUGGUGUUUUUGUUAUUUAAGGAGGUGUUGGGCUGGUUGGAGUUGAUCGAGUCAGCUGAUGCUGUUGGGCUACACAGUUGGUCCAAUUUGAGUAAGAGAAGAGUUUUAGGCCAUUUAAAAGAUGACCCAAAUUAAAUGAUUAUUUAGUCAAUUUUUAUUUAAAUUCCAGCCAAAUUAAAAAUUAAUCAACCAAUUGCAUUGCAAUUGUGGCCUAACUGAUUUCAAUUAUGUCCAAAUUCAAUGAAUCAACCGAAUAAAAUCAAAAUUUUGAAUGAAUUAUAAACUAAUUUAAUUUUGAGUUUCUCGGCUUAAUAAAAUUGAAUAAAUUUUUUUCAAAUAAAUUAUUUUCAAAUAUAAAAUAUUUUUUAAAUCAAUAUUUUAUAUAUUUGAAUCAAUUUUCAAGAUAACCCUUGAUUUAAAAUUAAAUUUUUCAUAAAAUAAUUAUUUACGUAACAAAAUUAUAUGAUUUCGUAUGUGUGAAUACAAAGAUAUAUAAUCGUUACUUAAAAUGCCCAAAAUUACCUAGACAAAUACUUUAGAAAGUUUUAUUAUUCAGAAAAAUAAAUGUUGUAAUUUUAUAUAAGAUCAAAGAAACUAAGGUCUAAACUUAGUCGUGGAGAGAAAAAAUUAGGUGUUAACAAAUUCCUCCCUUUUGGGUAGGGUGGAUGCAAGUAACCCAUGGCAAGGGGAGUUUGACGUUCCUAAUUUUGUCUGACCACAAAUUCAUUUAUAAAAGAGGUUGGUUUUCGCAUGAGUUUAUAGAGAGUUAUGGUCGAACCUCAGUAUUGGGUUUACUAUAUAUCGCAAGUUACAUAAAAAAUCAGGCCACUUGUAGUUCAUAAAGCUUGAUUUGUAAGCGCGAUUUUUAAAAAAUUCACAAGUUAUUUCAGUUUUUGAGUUUUGAUAAAAACGUAACACUGGAGAAUAAGGAGAUUUGGGGGGUAAAAUGCAGUCGAGUUUUCAAAAAAGAUCCCAGCCUACAUAUCUCUGAGACUCAGGAAAUCACACUGCUUGUAGUUUGACUCGAUUGGUGGAAAAGACAGUCUUUUAUACUAAGAAGGCCUUUGGCUUAAGAUGAGCAACAGACAAUUGAGUUGCGAAAAAAAUGUUUGUAACCUCUUAACCAUUAAUGUAGAUCUCUUUACAUCCAUGGAAAAGAAUUUACCCGAACAUAAUUUUCAAAGCUCUAGGUAUGCUUUCACUCGAAUUUGAAAGAAAGAGAUGGUUACCUCCAAUAUGAGUUUACAAAUAUUUCGGAAAUGAAACUAAAACCAAAACCCAAAAACAUCCACAUGUCUUUUGAUAGGGAUAUUGUUUGAUGGUGAUGGAAGUUGUCUUUUAGUUCGCGUCCAAAGAGUUUGAUAUUCCUCUUCGGACUAUAUCCCAGUUUACUGCUAAGAAAAAGUUCCACAUUGUGAUGCAUUCUUUUUGGAUUCAUCCGUACCUAUAAUUUUGUUUUGAGAUUUUCCUCCUUUUCGGAUGCUCUCAUCAACAUCUCAAACAAAAAUAUUAAUGAUAAACAUUAUUCACUAAGGGAUUUAUAGCAUUUUACCAUAUCUCCGUGUGAGUUGCUACCUUAUGAAGACAACAACCUCUCAUGUACCUGUUUAGAGGGUGAUAAUUCUUGAGAUAAUCGAUACAAAAACCCUUUGUUUUUACAUAAAAUGGUUAUUUUAACGGUUGAAAAUUUUCUUCAAAGUGGGGUGGCCCUCUUGGGCACCGACGACACUUUGUAUAAAGCGGUCUCUGAAACUGAGUAAUUUUAUACUGAUGUGUUAACCUUUUGGUUACCUAUAAUGCUUCUUGUAUUUGACCUCGGGAGUCUUGUGCAUCUAUCAUAUCGAUACAACUUAUAGAUUUUCCUUGAAUAGUCAAUAUUUGGAUAAUAUUACGCAUUAUUUGAUAUUGGAUAUGAGGCAAUUUACAGAUAUCCUUUCAGUUGCUAGGUUUUGAGUAAUCCUGCACAUUAUUCGGCCUUGGAUAAGAGAUGACGUACAGAUAUCCGUCCAAUCACUAGCUCUCAAGUAUUCCUGCACAUUAUCCGACCUUGGAUAUAGUAUGACUUAUAGAUGUCUCUAAAAUUGGUAGUCUUUGGGUAAUCUUGUGCAUAAUCGAUCUUGGAUAUGAUGCGGCUUAUAGAGUGCCCUUAGACCUAUCGAUUUUGAUAAUCUUGCAAAUUUUCCAAUAAGAAUUUAGUUGUGACUUAUGAUAACUUUCAAACUGUCAAUCUUCGGGUAACCUUGCACACUAUCUGGUUAGGAUGACCCAUGGGCUGUCAACUCGUGAAUAAUCUUGCAAACUACCCUAUUUCAAAUAACUUGACUUAUAAAUGACCCUCGGAUUGCCAAUUCUCAAAAAAUCUAGUACGUCGUACAUUUUCGGAUAGCGACUUAUAAACAUCCUUUGGACCAUAUGUUUCGUGAGAUCCAAUAGUGAAUGCUAUAAAAUCCUUGAUGAUUGAUGCACUUGAAUCUGUUGAAUAUCUCUCAACGCCAUAUUGCUUUGCCUUUUCAUGAUUUGAUCAGAUGUGGAUGCUUCAGAAUAUCCUUCAAUGCCAGACUCUUUUGUCUUCGCAUGAUUAUCGGAUAUAUAUGGAAAUACUUCAGAAUAUCCUUCAACAAUAGACUCUUUCGCCUUUGUGUGAUCAAAAGAUAUAGAAGACUUUGAGUCAAUCAUGGGCAUCAAAUUCAAUAUGGAGAUACCCUUGGAUUGUUGCCUCUUUGAAACUGUCAAAGAAGGCAAUAUGGUUUUUAGGAUAUGACCUUUACGGCGUGGUCCUCUUGGCAUAGCCCUUUCGGCAUGGCCCUUAUGGCAUGAACCUCUCGGCAUGGACCUCUUGGCAUGACCCUCUUAGCAUGGCCCUUUUGGCAUGGCCCUCUCAGUAUGGCCCUCUCGGCAUGAUAUGAUGCAGUAGAAAGAUGAUGAUAAAUGCAAAUAACUGUGCAGCGAUUGUAGAAAACCUUACCUUAACCAUUCCACUAGCAUGUUGGACUUUCUGCAUGUACUAUUUCAAACAUCCAUCCUUGAUUUACUAGGGAUGUGAGUAAGUCAUCAUUUUUUUCCACGUCUGAUAAUACCUGUAUCCAUAGAAAACUUCUUAGUUUUGGAAACUCAAUUGUUUUCAGCUUCCAGACACUCCUAGCCAUUUUUAUUAGCCUUGGGAUAUUUGGCUUUCUUGUAUUCCUUUAAACCAAAGGAUUAUGGUGAAUAAUCAGCACUUUUGCUGGUUUUUUUUUGGCUUUAGAAUAACCUGCACCCACAGAAAAAUUAUUUAUCGGUCUUUAGCUACUGUCAUCACCAUCAUUGGGAUCUCAUCUUAUUCAUGUGUUUGUCAUCUUUUAACUCCUGCUUCAACUCGUCGAGUUGGUGGGUGUAAGGUAAAAUUAGAGCAUAAAUUAAUCUAAAUUAAGUAAUUUUACAAAUAUUUAAAUUUUCAAAAAACUUUUUAUAAGAUUGGGAGGAGUCUUUGUCAAAUAAUUCAUGUCAUAUAUGAGCUUUAAUGAACAUUUUUUAGCUCGAGGCGUUAGGUCGUUGUAGCAGAAAGUCCAUGAAGUUGACUCUGCUCUUUCGGCGCCAAAAUCUUUGUUGUCAUCUCUGAACUCUUUGGUAUAAACUGGUGAAAAUUUUAAGGUCCGACUUAAAAUUUCUGCCCUAGUUACUGAUAUCUCUCUCAAAAUUUGAUUUGGCUUGCUAGAGAAUGCUCUUCUUCUGUUGAAUUUUUUGAGAUCCCGUCUCAAAAACUCUUCCCCAGUUUCCAUUUCCUGGGGUGAUACGACUGAUCCAUUGUGGUACCUACGUAUCCCGUUGAAUAGGGAUCAGGUCAAACGUAGCUCCCACAACAUAAAAGGGAAUAAAAUAUAGUCAAAAAGGUGACCAAAGCUUGCAAAAGCCGUCUACGUAUCCCAUCCAUAGGAAUUUCAAUCAUCACAUAGCUCAAGAUAAGAUAAAAAAAUUCCAAGAUAUUGACCGAAGCCGACAUAGGUCGUCUUCGUAUCUCAUUCUUAAGAAUUCAGGUCAAAUGUAGUUCAUACAUAAAAGGAAAAAAGAUUCUAAAGAUACUACAAAGCAUAAGAAUGAUUACAAAUGAGAAAGAAAUUACAAGGAAAUAAGCACAAAGAAACUCCACAUCAGACAUAGUAGCUAUUCACCACAUCAAAAUUAAUUGGCUUGUUCCACCUUUGGCCAUCCAUUUCAGAUAAAAUCAAGGCUCCUCCCGAUAACACUUUGCAGACUACAUACGACCCCUGCCAAUUUAGAGCGAACUUUUCCUUAUACACUUCUUAGUAAGGAAAUAUGCAUUUGAGCACCAAUUUCACAACUUUAAAUCAUCCGCUAUUGAUAUAAUUGUCCAUGACUUACAACGCUCAUCCUCUUUUUAUCAAUCAUCAUAAGUUGUUCAUGGCGGGUGCGGACCCAUUCUUCAUUGCUCAAUCCUACUUCUCGGAUGAUUCUUAAAGAUGGUAUUUCAACUUCAGUGGGUAUUACUGCUUCUGUCUCAUAGACUAACACAUAAGGAGUUACCCAAGUCAAAGUUUUGACUGUCGUGCGAUAUCCCAGCAAGGUAUAAGGAAGCAUGUCGUGCCACGAUCGAUGACUAUCAACCAUUUUUCUUAAGAUCUUCUUGAUAUUCUUGUUGGCAGCUUCUACCUCUCUAUUCAUUUGAGGGCAAUAUGUGUUUGAAUUUGGAUAAGUAAUCUUGAACUGUUCACAUAUCUCUUUCAUCUAAUGACUAUUCAAGUUUGCUCUAUUGUUCGUGAAGAUUGACUCAGGCAUCCCGAAUCAGAAAAUCAAGUUGUUCUUGACAAAAUCUUCUAUCACCCUCUUAGUUACCACAUUGUAUGAUGCAGCUUCUACCCACUUGGUAAAGUAAUUGAUAGUAACUAAAAUAAAUUUGUGUCCAUUAGAAGCUGGUGGCUCAAUCAGGCCGAUGACAUCCAUACCCAAGCUAUAAAUGGCCAAGAAAAGUUCAUAACAUUAAGUUCGUAUGGGAGCACUCAGAUCAGAUCCUCGUGUAUCUGGCACAUAUGGCAUUUUGUCACAAACUUGCUACAGUCAUUUCCAUCGUCAUCCAAAGUUGUUGGCUCUCAGGAUCUUCUAGGCUAGGGUGAACCCGUUCAUAUGAGGUCCACACGUUCCGGUGUGAAUUUCUUCAAGUAAUUUUGUUGUUUUAAUAGAAUCUACACAUCGCAGAAAUCCUAAAACUGGGUCUUCCUGUAAAGGACUUCCCUAUUAAAAAAGAAAUUAUUAGCCAUCCGACGAAUUAUUUUCUUUUAAUUGAAGAUUGCAUCUUCGGGAUACACCCUAGCUUCUAAAUACCUCUAGAUAUCAAAGUACCAUGGCUUUUCGUCUGGUUCUGCCUCAACUUAUGCUCAAUGUGAAGGUUGCUCCUUCACACUUAUUUCCAAUGGAUUGAUGUAACUUUGAUCCAGAUGUUAAAUCAUGGAAGAUAUAGUGGACAAAGCAUCAGCGAACUUAUUAUGUACUCUUGGAACAUGCUUGAAUUCCACUUUCUUGAAUCUUUUGCAUAACUCUUAGACCAAUUCAACGUAUGGCAUGCUUUUAGGGUUCUUUACAACCCAUUCCCCCCUAAGAUGGUGAAAUAAAAGAUCAGAAUCUCUAAUGACUAGUAGCUUCCGAACAUUCAUAUUAAUAGCCAGUCUGAGAUCGAGAAUACAAGCCUCGUAUUCAUCCAUAUUGUUGUUUCAAGAGAAGCACAGUUUGGCGGUAACUGGAUAAUGUUGACCAGUUUCUGAUAUUAAGAUUUCCCCAAUUCUUAAACCCUUGAAGUUAACCGCCCCAUCGAAGAACAAUCUUCUGCCCGAGUAUAUUUCGACAAUGUCUUCCCCUAUGAACAAUACCUCUUCAUCUAUGAAAAUAUGGAUGUUGGGCAAUGGAAAGUUAUCUUUAGGACUGGAUUUGUUCAAAUCCCUAUAAUCGACACAAAUUAUGACCUUCCCAUCCUUCUUCGGUACUGAACAAUAUUUGCUAGCCAUGUUGGAUAUUUUGUGACCUCAAUCACGUUGGCUUGAAUUUUCUUCGUGAUUUCUUUAUUGAUUUUCAGACUCAGAUCUGGCUUGAAUUUUUGCAACUUUUGAUUCACAAGAUUGAACCCCAGAUCAAUUGGAAACUUGUGCAAUACAAUAUCUGUACUUAAUCCUGGCAUGUCAUCAUAGGACCAAGUAAAUAUAUCAAUGUAUUCUUUAAGCAACCCGACGAGUUCUCCUUUCUGUGUUUCUAUUAGGUGAACGUUGAUUCUGGUUUCUUUGACUUCUCCAUCAUUACCUAUAUUAACUAUCUCGGUUUCUUUUAAGUUGGGCUUUUUCUGAUCCUUAAAAUCUUUCAGUUCCUCUGUUAAUUAUUUUGGGGCUUAUAUUUGUUCAUCAUAGUUCUCCCACUCAUCAUCAUUCACUUUGAAUUGUUCAUUUAGCUCAUGACAUAACAUGAUAUUGGUAGGUUUUAAAUUAUUAUUACUGUAGUAAAAAACAAUAUGAGUUACAUUAUAGUGAUCGAAUAAUGCAGUAAAAAUGAGUAAAAACAUCUUUGCAAUAAAAGAGGCUUUCAUUGAAAUUUAAAAUAUUACAGAAACUGCUAUGAUCUGCACUAGUAUGGGUCUGAGCCUUUUGGGAAACAUAAAAAAACAAAAAUGAGGUAAAUAAAACUUAAAGGGACGGUCUCGAGCCUCAUUUGGACUGUCACUAAUUUUGAAAAAAGUUAAAUUUCAUCCUUUCAUCUGCCGCAUCAAUCGGGGAGUCAUGAUAGAAAUAGAAGUCCAGUUCGACGGCUUCUCCCCUGGUUCAUCUUUCUGGAUCUUAGUCUUCUCAGGUAAAUCCUCCAUAAUAGAAUCACACUCUUUAAAUAAGUUACCUAUUCUAUCCUCUAUAUCAUUAUUUGUAGGCUUUACAGAUACAGAAAAUGACUGGUAGAGCGGAGGUAACUUUUUUGCCAAUUCUAGGCCUUCUCUCUGUAUCUGUCUUUCACCUUCUUUAGUUGGAACAUAGCCUAUCCCAUAUUUGAAAAACUUCUUUGGGAUUGCGAUAGGCUCAAUGAUCCCAUCCGAAUUCUUUCCUAAGCCACUCUCGAGCUCAAAACCGCUUCUCAGCAUAACAGUGGCCAAUAUCUUGUAAAUCGAAGGCAUUAGCUCGUAAGGAGUUAAGUCUUUCUCAGCUGCAUUCAUGAUCUCAACUAUAUAAAAGUAUCUUCCUUUCAGUACUUCUUCAACAUAGGAAUAUAAACAUUAGGGUGACUCAGGCGGCAUAUUUCCCCAUGGAUGACCACUUUAUUAUUUUCCCAUACGAAUUUCACCGAUUUAUGCUAUAUUAAAGAAACGACCCCCACUGCAUGAAUCCAAAGGAUUCUUAAGAUAAGAUUAUAACUUGUUGAAAUGUCCAUCACCUGAAACUCAACUAAUAACUCUGUCAGCUCCAUUUGAAGAUGCAACUUGACUUCCCUAGUGGUGUUUCUCUGACCUCCGUCAAAAGCUUAUAUUUACCAUGUUCUGAUGAAGUUUCCUUAUAUCAUAGUUCAGCUGAGUCAGAACAAAUAGUGGACAAAUAUUCAGAGUCCAUCGUCAAUUAACACCCUGUUUACAACCUUAUCUUGGUAUUUGGCAGUGAUAUGCAAUGCCUUGUUAUGCAUUACUCUUUCGAAGGGUAACUCAUCUCCUCCAAAGCUAAUAUAAUGAGAUCCUACCACUUUACUGAUCAUGGCCACCAAGUUUUCAAUAUUGGUGCCUAUGGGCAUAUAGGCUUCUUCAAGGACUUUCAUCACAACUUGUCUAUGAUAUUGAGAACUCAUGAUCAAUGCCCAAAUAGAAAUCUGAGCGGGGGACUUCUCUAAAUGUUUUACAAUAGGGUACUCCUUCAGCUACAUUCUUCUCCCAAAUUCUUUGGCUUCCCCUUAAAUGAUUGGAAUUUUUUAGCACUCUUUUUGUAUGCAUCAUUGGCAAGAUCCUGUGGAGUGUAGCAUCUCCAUAAUCUAGUCAUUCCUUACGCAGUGGUGGCUUCUACCAUAAAUUUUUCUCUAGCGGGAACUAAGGCAAAAGCUGGAUGAGGUGCGAUGAAUGCAACAAACUUGGGCUUCUCAAUAACACUUUAAGUAGCCACUAUAAUUGGGCUCGAAAGAUGUCUUUGACUUCAGGUUUGGACUAAAUGAUACGAAAGACACAUCUUCUCUCUUUUUCUUUGGGAAUCCUGAAGAUCCAGGUUGUACAGAGGUCUUGCUGAUUUUUUUUAUCCUGAGUCCUUCUUCAACUAUUUCACCAAUCUUAACCAAGUCAGCAAAGGUAGCAGGAACUGUUGAUAUCAUUUUGUCAUAAAACUCUCCCUCCUAAGCUUGGGUAAACAUAACAACUAUUUAUUCUUUUGUCAAAGGAGGUCGUACCUUUGCUGCCUCUUUCCACUAAUGAUAGGUAUAUUCAUGAAAGAAUUCAUUAGACUUUUGCUGGAUGCGAUUCACAUAAUAUAGAUCAGGAAUCAUAUCUACAUUAUAGGUAAAUUUUUCAACAAAAUCCUUGGUUAAAACACUCUAUUCAGGCCACUUCUUUAGUUCCUAUGAAGCAAAUCAUUCUAAUGUUUCUCCACUCAGGCUUCGACUGAAAAGCCUCAUCACCAAUGCCUCAUUUCUACCAGCACCUACAAUUUGGUCAUAAUAUCCUCUCAAGUGGGUCGUAGGGUUCCCAGUACCAUUGAAUAUCUCAACUUAAGGACAUUAAAUACUGUAGAAAGGUUCAAGUCAGGGCGAAUACAAAGGUCAUCAUAACUGAACCCUACAGUAUUGGGCGAACCAUGUGUUUUCUUUAUCCUGGCCAUCUCUUCCUUUCUCAAUAGUAUCUCCCUAGCAUAUUUGUCUUCAGGCCCCUUACUCUUCUUGCCCAUCUCCUCAUACUGGUAAAUUUCUAGAUUUUGUGGGGAAGUAUGGUAAGAGGCAGGCACUACAAUAGCGUGGAUGGUGGAGAGAGACAUAUUUUGGGUCAUCAAAGGAUUUUGAGAGGUGUGACCAAAGUUUUGGUAUGUAGGAACUGGAUUUUGGGGACCGUUGAUAUUGGGACUGAAAGUGGGGUGGGUAUUUUGGGAAGUGAAGGUAUUUGUGAAUGUGUUUUUGUAAUUUAGAGUGAAGCUUUGAGAGUGGUAAGUAUUUGGAUGAUUUUCUUAGUUGGUAUUAUAAGAAAGAGAGAUAUGGGUUUGGCACAACAGAUUGAUGAGAUUAGUGAGAGGCCUGGGCAUAGAAUGGAGGGUAUGUCAUUUGGUUGGCUUCCACUGUUAUGAGAGUUAAGAGAAGGGAAUCAAAGUGGAAGCACAUGGGUAUCCAAGACUGGCGUAUUAGCUGCAAUGGCCAAAUUAGCCAUAUCUUUUGCGUGUUGUACUUCUUCUUGAAGCUCCUCCAUUCUUCUAGUUAGUUCAGUGAUCAUCUCACCUUGUGUCAUUAUCACACCAUCUCUAAUAGUAAUUUCGGUGAGAGCAUUAUCAUCGCUACUAUCGGUCAUUCUUUAUUCUUCAGUUAAGCAAUGGUCAAGGGAUGAAUUUUUAUUUGACUUAGAUCUAGUGAAAUAUUGAUGUCCAGCUAGUUUUAUCAACAUAGGUUAACUUCUACUUACUUGAUACCUGAUAAAACAACUCCAAAGAAAAAUAUGUUAGAUUCGCUUAGUGAUAAAUAAUGCAAGAUAUCCGACAUAAACUAAACACAUAAAGUUGCUUUUAUUUUAGGUAAAUUGAUCCACGGGGGGGUAUUAACUCGAAAGGAAUUAACGGGCGGGACUUUGUCUGUUGAUUGUUGGAUAAAUGGGUUUUGACAAGAUUUUUACCAAGGCUUCUAAUUUUGUACUCAUAUGACUUUCUUUGACAAAACGAGACAUAAUGAUUUUAAAUGAUAGAGGCCAGGACGAAAGAAUGUCUAAGUAUCUCACAAAGGAGAAAUCAGGCCAUACGUAGUUCAAAUAGGUAAGGAUAAAACUUCAUUUCAUUGAAAUCUCAUUAGAGUUCGUUACAUUAGCGGAACAUGAAAAGAAAAAUGACAACAAAAAAAGGAAAUAAAUGACUAAGUCUUAGAUAGAUGCGGGCAUUCCCACUUCAUUCUGCCUUUUCCAUAUCUUGAUCUUCGAUGGGUGGUAUAGCAAAAAUUCUAACUCAACCCUUCCUGUAUCCACCAGGCUCUCUAAAUAUAUCUUAAAAGCAUUGCAAGUCUCCAAGUUGUGCCCUUCGAUGCCUCCAUUAUAAUGACAAACCUCUCUAAAUUUCUUCCAAGCUUUAAAUAUCGUAUUAUGCUUCUUUUUCAUUAGUUCCAGAAUUUUGGCAUUGAUGAUCUUUGAGUAGAUUUUAUGGUAGGUAUCUUCAAAUCUUGCGAUGUCAUAUUUGUGAAUCAACAGGUCAUUGGUGAUGGUCAUGCCUAGAUUAACCCGAUCGCAACAGAGAAUGGUUUAUGGUCCCCAUAAAUUAUUUAUUUGACCAUCGCGAAUCGUGUUGCAAAUCCUGGCCUUCAGAGCAAGACACUCGUCAGUGGUAUGACAAGUUUAUUGGGAUCAUCCUUGGGAAAAUAACAAAAUCCUUCUAUUUGAUCAUGGUGGAGGACCCCCACAUUUCUUAGGAUUUGAUAAACUAUCGAGCAUGUCAUGAUCUAAGGAUACCGAGAGCACGCUCUGAAGUGAGCUUUGCAGGUGAUCUUUUCACUUCCCUACCUAAUCCUAGUAGGCUAGAUGGCAUACCCUUUAAUCUUGGACCAGCUUUCAUCUCUUAGGUUUGCAGGUGAAACUUGCUCAAACUUAUUCUUUUCCUGCUCGAUCAACUGGUUGACUUCGAUAAUUUCCUUGUCGGCCUGAUCAACCUUCCUAAUCAUUUUGAUUUCUUCUUUUUGCAUUUCCUCCACUUGGGCUAACUCUACUAUCCGUCUUUUCAUUUGUGUGGUCCAUGAAUCCAUGACAAAUUUUCUUGAAAGAAUAGGAAUAUGUUUAUCAAGAAAGCUAACGAAAAUAGUUGACGACUUUUUGAGAAACUUGGGGACCUGGAAUAUCUUGUGCAGACUUUCGAUAGUAAGAAUAUAUUUUGCCUAAAGGGUUUUCAAGGAUUUAUUGAGUUGUGGAUCAAUUUACCUUUGAUUAACAAUACACAUAGCACUUAAACAGUUAUAUCACAUACGAUAGUUAUAUUUCACAACAAUAGAAUAAUAAAUAACGAGCCCUAAUUGGGUGACCCUUUUGAGCCAAAGGUUGGCCUAGAGAAUACCCUUUUGAGCCAAAGGUUGGCCUAGAGAAUUUGAAGGAAAUAUAUGUCUUUUAAACCAAUAAAUUAUCCCUCAAAAUCUCCAUAGAUAUAUAUAAAUCCAUAAGCGUUGACAAAAGUUUCACAAGGGGAUACAAUUUUUAGGGAAAGGGGAAAUGAUAUGAAAAGAACAAAGUCCCACACAGGUGAUAAAGACUAACUCCUAGAUGCUCCUCCAUUGGCGUUCGUUCUCUUAGAAUUAUCCACCUCUUGACAUAUAUGAUAUAUGUUGAUGACCAGAUGACUCCCGCAUAAUUAUACUUUAUUCUUGUAGGUUAUCUCCCCUAUUCUAUCAAUUGUUAAGCCAUGUGAUCAUCCAAAUUAAGCAAGAAUUGUCUUGCAUCAUCAACCUCUUGCCUAGAUCUAUUUAAAUCUUCCCUCAACAGAUGUAUAGUUGAGGCAUCCUUCAUAUGCAUAUGCUGGUACGCCAUUUCACUUAUUCAAAAUUCGUGCUGAGGCCUAUCGAGCCAGAUCUGGUGUUCUUAUUCUACAUCAAUUAUUUGUAUGGGUACAUUCGCACCCGGUACCAAUGUUACGGCAAGAUUCUCCUUCAACCACUCUUUGUAGGUAUCACUAACCUCAGGUUCAUACCCAAUACAAAAGGAAACUUCUUUGGUAUUUCUUCUUCUCCACCGAUCUACCAUGUGCUAUUUGAGUGGAUUUUCACCUUCAUCAUACUUGGUGAUGAAUCUAACCAUAGGCGUUGUUUACGAUAUUUCCUGCUUGAUUUUAAACUGCCUAAGAACCCUGUCAGGGUUGUAAGGACGAGUUCCCCUAAGACCUGGAAGUAUUAAAAAAGGUCAUUCUUUUUCUCGAUGUACUUCCCUGGAUGAAGAUAUUUGAUAGACCACUGAACGUUGUCCUCUCUUAAUUUCCCGAAAACCUUGAACCAAAAUCCCAGAAAGUCUAUCAUCUUAAACCUGUGCAAGGAUAGCCAAAUGUCAUGUGAUGAUAUAAGAUCUACCCUUUUCUGAGGGUCUGGCUUCUUUACUUUGGUAUUUUUCAAUAAAUGUUUCAUCAGCCACCAUUGAAAGAUAAGGUUGCACCCUUGGAAGAAACGAUUCCUACCUUGACACAUUCCUAAAGCCCUAUAUAUUUCAGCGAUAAUCAUGGGAGCUAGAGUAUGGAAUACUUUAGUGGUUUUGUGAUCUACUUCUUAUAGGAAGGCGUGCGUCACUAUAAAAACUCUUGGAUUAAUGGUGUCAUUCUCUCCUUGCAGGAACACCAUAGUUCCAAGCAAACCUACAGCGAAAACAAAUGCUCUUUUCUCCCUCCAUUUUAACUCUGAUUCGAAUUUAUGCCCAAACUUCUAAAAGCGUUAUACUUUUUGAACCGGCUAUACAUAUCACAAAAAAGGUAUGUUAUCUCUAUCAUGUUCCCCCAACCAGGUAUCAUCGUUGAUCAAAAAGGCAUCUUUGAUCUCCUGACGGUUUCAUACAGUAAGGACUAUAACACUUUUUUCGGGUGCACUCCUUCUUUUUUUCCUAUACAUAUGAAGUCUCUCAUUACCGGCCACUACUUCUUUAAUAUUGGGGUUCAAUUCGACUUCCUCAUAGUGAAAUACCGUGUUGUCAUCAUCUGAGAAUAUUGUUAGCAGAUGGAUCAUUUCAGGAAAAACGUUCAUAUCUUGAAGCUCAGGUAGAUGCCCGAUAUGUGUACUAACAAUCUCUUUGUCCUUUUCACCCAUAUGAGUCCACCAUACCUUCAGGAAGUUAUCAGGUCUGGUAACCAUCUUUAACUUUCUACAAGGGUAAGCUUGAGCCAUUCCUACAUGAAAGAAAUAAAAGUAAGUCUUCUCCCUACCCCAAAGGAUAAUUGAUUGGAUUAAGCAAACAUAUAUUUUUUCAACACAUAAGCAUGAUUCGUUUGUAAUUGGCUCGCGGCUAAUAGAAGCAGAACAAUUUUUCUAAUAGGCCUAAUAUCCCCGCGAGUAUUGGGUCGCCCUAGGCUCAUGCCUAAAAGAGGAUUUUGGUUUCGCUCUAUCCUAGGUGUCUAGAGAGGGGCUUUGGAACAGGUUCCCAAGCGGAAGACUUGGGUUUAGAAAUACGAACAGCCAUCGGACGCCUAACGUGACAAUAAACUGACGUAUUUCCAGUAUUUGAUUUGGAGUUGAACAAUAGGGGUUGGGACAUCCACGAAAUCCCAAUAAUUUAUAUAUUUUGCAUGCAGAAAUAUGUCAUGAAAUGCAACAAUUUAAAAUUUGCGAAAAUUUAAACACAUAAGAAGACAAACAGUAUAAAUAUUACAACCCAAAUAGUUAGACAAAGAAGCUAGCACACAUUUGGUUAGAAUCUAGUGAAGUCCCCAGCAGAGUCACCAUUUCUGUUUUAUCCUUUUUCGGAUUUUACUUAAAAGAAAAUGGUUUCGACCUUUUUAAACUAUUUCCAAAGAUUUAAGAGAGUUUUAAAAUUAUUUUUGACAAAUUUAUAGAGUCGCCACUUGAUUUUUUUUAUCAAAAAUAUCAAGAAAACUUAAAGAGAUUUCAAAGAUUCAAAAACAGAAAUAAAUUUUUGAAAAAUAGAAAAAUUGAGUAAUUGAGUAAGGGUUUAAUUAACGCCCUUAGAAGAUUUUUACGCCACUUAGGAGCGUCUGUUUUAAAACGGUUCAUCAAAAGAUUAUAUUUUGACUAAAAAAGAGUGACUAACUUUGCAAAGGUUGAUUUUUUAAUAUUUAUAUUAUUUAUCCAUACAUCUAAAAAAUCGUGUUUGUUUGUUCAAACAAGGAAUAGCCUACUUGAAUUAGGAAAAAAUCUACAUUAUAUUCUACUUAAUUCAAUAUUAAUUUUGAGAAAAAUUACGAAAUAUUUCAUUUAGAUUGAGAAACGUUACGGAAUAUCUUGCUUGAGAAAAUAUUCUACUUAAUCACGAGGAAGCUAGAAUUUGAGAAAAACAAUCAAGGAAUAUGCUAGUUGGAAAACUUCAACUUAAUUCGUAAUUACUUCAAGAGAAAUUAUGGAAUAUUUACUUCAAUUAAAAAUAAACCUAUCUAAACUAGAUUACGCUUUUGAGUUUAUAGAGGAAAUAAGUUAAUUUUUUAUGGAAAUUGAGAAUUAUAUGAUUACUUAUUAUUAUUGUCAUAAAUAUAGCCAUUUUGUUAUAAAUAACACCUUUGAAAUAUUUUAAGAAAGUAUCAUUUUAUCAAUUAUGAAAAAUUUGGAACUUGCGAGAAAAUUAGUUUCUUGAAUUUGAAGAUAAUUACCUUUUAACCCAAGUAGUCUAUCAGUCAAGUGAACAAGACAAGUGUCAUUUUCAAGUAGAGGACUUAAUGAUUUUUAGUCUUUUAAAAAAAAAAAAACUAAUUUAGGAAGAGCAAUCGAAAGAACCACUUUAAUCCAUUUUAGAAAAAAUAAAUUAGGUGAGAAAAUUUGUGAAUCAAAUAUGGAAAUCGAGGUAAAACAAAUAGCAACAACAUGGGGAAACACCAGAUUAAUUAAUUAAGGUUAGUUCAAAUACAAAAUAAACAAGUAUAGCAGUUGCAAUUUAAGAGAAUAAAAGGUUAAAGUUGGAGUUGGGCCUUUUUGGCCCAUCAGUGAGUUGCCCAGCCUUUGGGCUUCCCAUUUGAUGGACUUUAGGUCCAUUUUCCUGUAGUGUAUACCACAUGUAUACCAGCUAUAUUCUUCUGCAUUUUUGUGUAUAUAUGGUGUAUAUAUGACUGUAUUUCAGUCACAUACACACAACUUUAGUCCUCCCCUAUAUAAUCAACUUCCCUUUCACAUUUUCAGCCGCAGAUCCUCAGUACUGGCAUAUAUCUGUGUAUACAACUUUGAAUCAUCCCAUUUUUCUUCUUGCAUUAGUCCAUUUUGGACUUGAUGCAGGUCUUGACUCGAUAUUUCAGCAACUUAGUCUCAAGGAAACGCAAGAUAUUGAGUCCAAUUGAACUCCAUUGGAAUUCAUGGAAAAAGCAAAGAAACAAAGGAUUAAUGAAAUGAAGAAAAAAGAAUAAAUAACUUUGUAUACUAGUUUGCUUAAUUAUAACAUAGAAGAGCAUCCAAUAAUAUUAGACAAAUCCCCUACUCCUAACUAUGUUAAAACAAUACAGAUUUCAAAAUAUUUAGACUUCAUCCAACAUUAAUCACCCCAGCAAAUUUCUUUAAGUUCUAUUACAUGCUUUGGCAUAUUACAAAACAUAAAUUAGGCCAGUCGAGUAGGUUAAACUAAAAUCUCUUCAAAACUAUUCCAUGCAUUAGAUUUCUAUGUUAUCUGUGUUUCAGAUCUCCUACGAAAACAUGCCUUUAAACCUAUAUCGACCCAAAUCAGGAUCUGUGAAAAAGGAUUUUAUAAGAGGGAAGUUGCUAAACUAACCAUAAUGAUAGGCAGGAACAAAGAAGACGAAAAGAAAAUCUCCUAGCACGAGACAACACAAGUUACUAAUACUGGAUCAAGAUUCGAUCUUUAUUUAAUACUUAGACAAAACAAGCUAUCAUCCUGCGACUCGCUCCUAUCGAAUAAACAAUAAGAGAGAACAUGUCAGUCGAGUCCAAACACAUAGAUUAAUGUACUAAGUCAACGCAAAGAAGGAGCAAGAAGGUCGUCGAGGAGUUUUUGGUUUUGCAGUCCUUGGUUUUACAUUAAUUCCAAUAAGGCAUAAUGGAACAGUAUGCAUUGUAAUCACAUAAACACUAGGAUAACAUCUGUUCAUUCAAACGUUCAACAGGCAGAGAUCUCAAGUUGCUAAACUUCAGAACAUAUUUUUUUAACAGAACAAGCCCCCUAAAGCCUAAAGCUUUCCAACCUCAAACACAUAUAAACACCUUAAUACCUUUACAUCCAACAACAACCAAAAGAAAGUAUAAUGGAACAAUGGUCUUAACAAAAAUAGUGUCGAAAAGGCGGAGUUUGCACCUUUUUUGGAGCAAGAACGGGAACUUCAAAACUCGUCCGAACAACUCCCACCAUAAUUUCUAGUUGCUAUUAGGAUUCCAGUGAUUUUUGAUGGGUUUUUUAUAAUGCUCCGAAGAUGUCUUGGUUACGUAGGGUUAGAGGUGCGCACCUCCAGAACCCUCACAUUUUUUUGAUGAAAAAACUCCUCUCACCCUUGUUCCUUGCUAUCUAUUUAUAAGGGAAGUUAGGGUUUUGAAAGAGUAUAAUUCAAACCCAAAAAUUCAAAAUUAUUCCAAAAAAUUUUGAUAUCCAUAGUGAGACAAAGGGCCUUUGUACUCAAGAAUCAAUAGAGAGGUAGAGAAAAAGAGUUGUUUGGCUUUGAAAAAGGGACGUUGGCUGUGUUAGUCAAAUGGGUGAAUUAACUUUUUACCAAAAUAGUGAGUCAUGGGCUGAAAAUUGUUAAAGCCUUCUGAAUUUUGGCCAUGAAUGAAUAAACCAUGAGGGCAAAAUAGUAAAUAGGGGAAAUUUUAGGUAUUGCCAUUGGUUGACCGUCGUUGUUGCUGCAUUGCUAUUACAACGUUGAGGUUGUACAUUGUUUUUGUUACUCUAUGAAAUCGCUGGAUUAUUGUUAUCGUCGUUUGCCGUUGUUGAAAUUGAUACGGCAUUUGCUGUUGUUGUUUGUGUAUUGUCAUUUUUUUGCUGUUAGGUGGAAAGAAGAAUAGGGGGUGGGGGUCAGGUAUGGAUGUGGUUUUAAUGUUAGGCCGGGUGUUGGCUGGUGAGAGCUAUUGGGACGCUAGUGUUGUUAACGGCUGGCCCAAUUUUAGGUGAGAAAAAAGGGUCGAUGAUGUUGUUUGAUAUUGAUGUUGGGCCUGUUUUAAAGGUGGUGGGCUGGUGUUGGUGUUAUUGUUAUUUGAGGGGGUGUUGGGACGGUUGGAGUUGAUCGGGUCAGCUGAUGCUGUUGGGCUGCACAGCUGGUCCAAUUUGAGUGAGAGAAGGGUUUUAGGCCAUUUAAAAGAUGACCCAAAUUAAAUGAUUAUUUAGUCAAUUUUUAUUUAAAUUCCAGCCAAAUUAAAAAUUAAUCAACCAAUUGCAUUGCAAUGUGGCCUAACUGAUUUCAAUUAUGUCCAAAUUCAAUGAAUCGACCGAAUUAAAUCAAAAUUUUGAAUGAAUUAUAAACCAAUUUAAUUUCGAGUUUCUCGGCUUAAUAAAAUCGAACAAAUAUUUUUCAAAUAAAGUAUUAUCAAAUAUAAAAUAUUUUUUAAAUCAAUAUUUUACACAUUUGAAUCAAUUUUCAAGAUAACCCUUGAUUUAAAAUUAAAUUUUCCAUAAAACAAUUAUUUAAGUAACAAAAUUACAUGAUUUCGUAUGUGUGAAUACAAAGAUAUAUAAUUGUUACUUAAAAUGCCCGAAAUUACCUAGACAUAUACUUUAGAAAGUUUUGUUUUUCAAAAAAAUAAAUGUUGUAAUUUUAUAUAAGAUCAAAGAAACUAAGGUCUAAACUUAGUCGUGGAGAGAAAAAAUUAGGUGUCAACAAAUUCCUCCCUUUUGGGUAGGGUGGAUGCAAGUAACCCAUGGCAAGGGGAGUUUGAAGUUCCUAAUUUUUUCCGACCACAAAUUCAUUUACAAAAGAGGUUGGUUUUUGCAUGAGUUUAUAGAGAGUUAUGGUCGGACCUCGGUAUUGGGUUUACUAUAUAUCGCAAGUUACAUCAGAAAUCAGGCUACUUGUAGUUCAUAAAGCUUGAUUUGUAAGCGCAAUUUUUAAAAAAUUCACAAGUUAUUUCAGUUUUUGAGUUUUGAUAAAAACGUAACGCUGGAGAAUAAGGAGAUUUGGGGGGGGGGGGAAUGCAGUCGAGUUUUCAACAAAGAUCCCAGCCUACAUAUCUCUGAGACUCAGGAAAUCAGACUGCCUGUAGUUUGACUCGAUUGGUGGAAAAGACAGUCUUUUAUACUAAGAUAGCCUUUGGCUUAAGAUGAGCAACAGACAAUUGAGUUGCGAAAAAAAUGUUUGUAACCUCUUAACCAUUAAUGUAGAGCUCUUUACAUCCAUGGAAAAGAAUUUACCCGAACAUAAUUUUCAAAGCUCUAGGUAUGCUGUCACUCGAAUUUGAAAGAAAGAGAUGGUUACCUCCAAUAUGAGUUUACAAAUAUUUCGGAAGUGAAACUAAAACCAAAACCCAAAAACACCCACAUGACUUCUGAUAGGGAUGUUGUUUGAUGGUGAUGGAAGUCGUCUUUUAGCUCGCGUCCAAAGAUUUUGUUAUUCCUCUUCGGACUAUAUCCCAGUUUGCUGCUAAGAAAAAGUUCCACAUUGUGAUGCAUUCUUUUUGGAGUCGUCCGCACUUAUAAUUUUGGUUUGAGAUUUUCCUCCUUUUUGGAUGCUCUCAUCAACAUCUCAAACAAAAAUGUUAAUGAUAAACAUUAUUCACUAAGGGAUUUAUAGCAUUUUACCAUAUUUCCGUGUGAGUUGCUACCUGAUGAAGACAGCAUCCUCUCAUGUACCUGUUUAGAGGGUGAUAAUUCUUGCGAUAAUCGAUACAAAAACCCUUUUCUUUUUACAUAAAAUGGUUAUUUUGACGGUUGAAAAUUUUCUUCAAAGUAGGGUGGCCCUCUUGGGCACCGACGACACUUUGUAUAAAGCGGUCUCUGAAACGGAGUAAUUUUAUGCUGAUGUGGUAACCUUUUGGUUACCUAUAACGCUUCUUGUAUUUGACCUCGGGAGUCUUGUGCAUCUAUCGUAUCGAUACAACUUAUAGAUUUCCCUUGAAUAGUUAAUAUUUGGAUAUUAUUAUGCAUUAUUUGAUGUUGGAUAUGAGGCAAUUUAUAGAUAUCCUUUCAGUUGCUAGGUUUUGAGUAAUCCUGCACAUUAUUCGGCCUUGGAUAAGAGAUGACUUACAGAUAUUCGUCCAAUCACUAGCUCUCAAGUAUUCCUGCACAUUAUCCAACCUUGGAUACAGUAUGACUUAUAGAUAUCUCUGAAAUUAGUAGUCUUUGGGUAAUCUUGUACAUAAUCGAUCUUGGAUAUGAUGCGGCUUAUAGAAUGCCCUUAGACCUAUCGAUUUUGAUAAUCUUGAAAAUUUUCCAAUAAGAAUUUAGUUGUGACUUAUGAUAACCUUCAAACUAUCGAUCUUCGGGUAACCUUGCACACUAUCUGGUUAGGAUGACCCAUGGACUGUCAACUUGUGGAUAAUCUUGCAUACUACCCUAUUUCAAAUAACUUGACUUAUAAAUGACCCUCGGAUUGCCAAUUCUCAAAAAAUCUAGUACGUCAUACAUUUUCGGAUAGCGACUUAUAAAAAUCCUUUGGACCAUAUGUUUCUUGAGAUCCAAUAGUGAAUGCUAUUAAAUCUUUGAUGAUUGAUGCACUUGAAUCUGUUGAAUAUCUCUCAAUGCCAUAUUGCUUUGCCUUUGCAUGAUUUGAUCAGUUGUGGAUGCUUCAGAAUAUCCUUCAAUGCCAGACUCUUUUGUCUUCGCAUGAUUAUCGGAUAUAUAUGGAAAUACUUCAGAAUAUCCUUCAACAAUAGAAUCUUUCGCCUUUACGUGAUUAACAGAUAUAGAAGACUUUGAUUCAAUCAUGGGCAUCAAAUUAAAUAUGGAGAUGCCCUUGGAUUGUUGCCUCUUUGAAACUGUCAAAGAAGGCAAUAUGGUUUUUAGGAUAUGACCUUUACAGCAUGGUCCUCUUGGCAUAGCCCUUUCGGCAUGGCCCUUACGGCAUGACCCUCUCAGCAUGGACCUAUUGGCAUGGCCCUCUUAGCAUGGCCCUUUUGACAUGGCCCUGUCAGUAUGGCCCUCUCAGCAUGAUAUGAUGCAGUAGAAAGAUGAUGAUAAAUGUAAAUAACUGUGCAGCGAUUGUAGAAAACCUUACCUUAACCAUUCCACUAGCAUGUUGGACCUUCUGCAUGUACUAUUUCAAACAUCCAUCCUUGAUUUACUAGGGAUGUGAGUAAGUCAUCAUUUUUUUCCACGUCUGAUAAUACCUGUAUCCAUAGAAAACUUGUUAGUUUUUGAAACUCAAUUGUUUUCAGCUUCUUGACCAUCCUAGCCCUUUUUAUUAUCCUUGGGAUGUUUGGCUUUCUUGUAUUCCUUUAAACCAAAGGAUUAUGGUGAAUAAUCGGCACUUUUGCUGGUUUUUUGUUGGCUUCAGAAUAACCUGCACCCACAGAAAAAUUAUUAGUUUUUGUUAAAAUUAAUCUGUGUUGACUUUCUCGGUCUUUAGCUACUGUCAUCACCAUUUUGGGUUCUCAUUUUCUUCAUGUGUUUGUCAUCUUUUAACUCCUGCUUCAAAUCGUCGAGUUGGUGGGUGUAAGGUAAAAUUAGAGCAUAAAUUAAUCUAAAUUAAGUAUUUUUACAAAUAAUUAAAUUUUCAAAAAACUUUUUAUAAGAUUGGGAGGAGUCUUUGUCAAAUAAUUCAUGUCAUAUAUGAGCUUUAACGAACAUUUUUUAGCUCGAGGCGUUAGGUCGUUGUAGCAGAAGGUCCAUGAAGUUGACUCUGCUCUUUCGGCGCCAAAAUCUUUGUUGUCAUCUUUGAACUCUUUGGUACAAACUGGUGAAAAUUUUAAGGUCCGACUUAAAAUUUCUACCCUAGUUACUGAUAUCUCUCUCAAAAUUUGAUUUGGCUUGCUAGAGAAUGCUCUUCUUCUGUUGAAUUUUUUGAGAUCCCAUCUCAGAAACUCUUCCCCAGUAUCCCUUUCCUGGGGUGAUACGACUGAUCCAUUGUGGUGCCUACGUAUCCCGUUGAAUAGGGAUCAGGUCAAACAUAGCUCCCACCACAUAAAAGGGAAUAAAAUAUAGUCAAAAAGGUGACCAAAGCUUGCAAAAUCCAUCUAAGUAUCCCAUCCAUAGGAAUUUCGGUCAUCACAUAGUUCAAGAUAAGAUAAAAAAAUUCUAAGAGAUUGACCGAAGCCGACAUAGGUCAUCUUCGUAUCUCAUUCUUGAGAAUUCAGGUCAAAUGUAGUUCAUACAUAAAAGGAAAGAAGAUUCUAAAGAUACUACGAAGCAUAAGAAUGAUUACAAAUGAGAAAGAAAUUACAAGGAAAUAAGCACAAAGAAACCCCACAUCAGACAUAGUAGCUAUUCACCACAUCAAAAUUAAUUGGCUUGUUCCACCUUUGGCCAUCCAUUUCAGAUAAAAUCAAGACUCCUCCCGAUAACACUUUGCAGACUACAUACGACCCCUGCCAAUUUAGAGCAAAAUUUUCCUUAUACUCUUCUUGGUAAGGAAAUAUGCAUUUGAGCACCAAUUUCACAACUUCAAAUCAUCCGUUAUUGAUAUAAUUGUCCAUGACUUACAACGCUCAUCCUCUUUUUAUCAAUCAUCAUAAGUUGUUCAUGGCGGGCGCGGACCCAUUCUUCAUUGCUCAAUCCUGCUUCUCGGAUGAUUCUUAAAGAUGGUAUUUCAACUUCAGUGGGUAUUGCUACUUAUAUCCCAUAGACUAACACAUAAGGAGUUACCCAAGUCAAAGUUCUGACUGUCGUGUGAUAUCCCAGCAAGGUAUAAGGAAGCAUGGCGUGCCACGAUCGAUGACUAUCAACCAUUUUUCUUAAGAUCUUCUUGACAUUCUUGUUGGCAGCUUCUACCUCUCUAUUCAUUUGAGGGCAAUAUGCGGUUGAAUUUAGAUAAGUAAUCUUGAACUGUUCACAUAUCUCUUUCAUCUAAUGACUAUUCAAGUUUGCUCUAUUGCUCGUGAAGAUUGACUCAGGCAUCCCAAAUUAGAAAAUCAAGUUGUUCUUGACAAAAUCUUCUACCACCCUCUUAGUUACCACCUUGUAUGACGCAGCUUCUACCCACUUGGUAAAUUAAUUGAUAGUAACUAAAAUAAAUUUAUGUCUAUUAGAAGCUGGUGGCUCAAUCAGGCCGAUGACAUCCAUACCCCAAGCUACAAACGGCCAAGAAAAGUUCAUAACAUUAAGUUCGUAUGGGAGCACCCAGAUCAGAUCCUCGUGUAUCUGGCACAUAUGGUAUUUUUGCACAAACUUGCUACAGUCACUUCCAUCGCCAUCCAGAAGUUGGCUCUCAGGAUCUUCUAGGCUAGGGUGAACCCAUUCAUAUGAGGUCCACACGUUCCGGUGUGAAUUUCUUCAAGUAAUUUUGUUACUUUAAUAGAAUCUACACAUCACAGAAAUCCCAAAUCUGGGUCUUCCUAUAAAGGACUUCCCUAUUAAAAAAGAAAUUAUUGGCCAUCCGACGGAUCAUUUUCUUUUAAUUGAAGAUUGCAUCUUCGGGAUACGCCCUAGCUUCUAAAUACCUCUAGAUAUCAAAGUACCAUGGCUUUUCAUCUGGUUCUGCCUCAACUUAUGCUCAAUGUGAAAGUUGCUCCUUCACACUUAUUUCUAAUGGAUUGAUGUAACUUUGAUCCAGAUGUUAAAUCAUGGAGGAUAUAGUGGCCAAAGCAUCAGCGAACUUAUUAUGUAUUCUUGGAACAUGCUUGAAUUCCACUUUCUUGAAUCUUUUGCAUAACUCUUAUACCAAUUCAACGUAUGACGUGCUUUUAGGGUUCUUUACAACCCAUUCCCCCCUAAGAUGGUGAAAUAAAAGAUCAGAAUCUCUAAUGACUAGUAGCUUCCGAACAUUCAUAUUAAUAGCCAGUCUGAGAUCGAGAAUACAAGCCUCGUAUUCAUCCAUAUUGUUGUUUCAAGAGAAGCACAGUUUGGCGGUAACUGGAUAAUGUUGACCAGUUUUUGAUAUUAAGAUUUCCCCAAUUCUUAAACCCUUGAAGUUAACCGCCCCAUCGAAGAACAAUCUUCAGCCCGAGUAUAUUUCAACAAUGUCUUCCCCUAUGAACAAUACCUCUUCAUUUGAGAAAUAAGUUUGGAGUGGCUCAUACUCUUCAUUAAUUAGAUUUUCCACUAGAUGAUCCGCUAGGGUAUGCUAUUUGAUCUCUUUUUGAGUCACAUAUACAAUGUCGAAUGCACUCAAUAGCAUUUGACAUUUGGCCAAUUUCCCUGUGAGCAUGGCAUUUUGGAAUAUGUACUUUAAAAGAUCCAUUCUGGAGAUGAGAUAUGUUAUAUAUGACAUCAGGUAAUGCCUCAGCUUAUUGGCCCUGGUCAAUGCACAACACAUCCUUUCCAAUAGCGUGUAAUGAGCCUCAUAUAGAGUGAACUUCUUACUCAAGUAAUAAAUUAAUCUUUCCUUCUUUUCAGUUUUAUCAUGUUGCCCUAGACACAUCCAAAUGCUUGUCAAAGACCAAUAAAUACAACAACAUGGGGCUUUCUUCUCUUGGAAGAACUAGUAUUGGUGGACUGGAUAGAUAAUCCUUGAUCCGGUCAAAAGCUCACUGCAUUCUUCAAUCCAUUUAUUUGUCGCAUCUUUCUUUAAACAUCUUGAGGAUUGGUUUGCAAAUAACCAUUGACUUGGCUAUGAACCUGCUGAUGUAAUUCAAUCUCCCUAAGAAACUAAUGACUUCUUUGUUUGUCUUCGAAGGAGGAAACUCCUAGAUUGCCUUAAUUUUUGAGGGGUCGAGUUCAAUGCACCUUCUACUAACUAUGAAACCCAACAACUUUUCGGUCGGUACCCUAAAAUCACACUUAUUAGGAUUCAUCUUUAAAUUGUACUUUUACAAUUGAUCAAAGAACUUUCCCAAAUGGGCUACGUGGUUCGAGCCCUUGCGAGAUUAGAUGAUCACAUCAUCCACAUACACUAUAAUCUCUUUAUGAAUCAUAUCAUGAAAUAUGGUUAUCAUGGCUCUUAUAUAUGUAGCACCAGUAUUCUUGAGACCGAAGGGCAUCACCCUAUAGUGAUAAACACCCCAGGGUAUGAUGAAGGCCAUUUUCUCUGUAUUUUCUUCGUCCAUCAGUAUUCGAUGAUACCUAUCAAAUCAAUCCACGAAUGACCGUAUCUUAUUCCUCGCAUUGUUGUCAAUGAAAAUAUGGAUGUUGGGCAAUGGAAAGUUAUCUUUAGGACUGGAUUUGUUCAAGUCCCUAUAAUCGACACAAAUCAUGACCUUCCCAUCCUUCUUCGGUACUGAACAAUAUUGGCUAGCCAUGUUGGAUAUUUUGUGACCUCAAUCACAUUGGCUUAAAUUUUCUUCAUGAUUUCUUUAUUGACUUUUAGACUCAGAUCUGGCUUGAAUUUUUGCAACUUUUGAUUCACAAGAUUGAACCCCAGAUCAAUUGGAAACUUGUGAGAUACAAUAUCUGUACUCAAUCCUAGCAUGUCAUCAUAUGACCAAGUAAAUAUAUCAAUGUAUUCUUUAAGCAACCCGACGAGUUCUCCUUUCUGUGUUUCUAUUAGGUGAACGUUGAUUCUGGUUUCUUUGACUUCUCCAUCAUUACCUAUAUUAACUAUCUCGGUUUCUUUUAAGUUGGGCUUUUUCUGAUCCUUAAAAUCUUUCAGUUCCUCUGUUAAUCAUUUUGGGGCCAUUAUUUGUUCAUCAUAGUUCUCCCACUCAUCAUCAUUCACUUUGAAUUGUUCAUUUAGCUCAUGACAUAACAUGAUAUUGGUAGGUUUUAAAUUAUUAUUACUGUAGUAAAAAACAAUAUGAGUUACAUUAUAGUGAUCGAAUAAUGAAGUAAAAAUGAGUAAAAACAUCUUUGCAAUAAAAGAGGCUUUCAUUGAAAUUUAAAAUAUUACAGAGACUGCUAUGAUCUGCACUAGUAUGGGUCUGAGCAAUUUGGGAAACAUAAAAAAACAAAAAUGAGGUAAAUAAAACUUAAAGGGUCGGUCUCGAGCCUCAUUUGGACUGUCACUGAUUUUGAAAAAAGCUAAAUUUCAUCCUUUCAUCUACCACAUCAACCGGGCAGUCAUGAUUGAAAUAGAAGUCCAGUUCGACAGCUUCUCCCCUAGUUCAUCUUUCUUGAUCUUAGUCUUCUCAAGUAAAUCCUCCAUAAUGGAAUCACACUUUUCAAACAAGUUACCUAUUCCUUCCUCGAUAUCAUCAUUUGUAGGCUUUACAGAUACAGAAAAUGACUGGUAAAGCGGAGGUAACUUUUUUGCCGAUUCUGGGCCUUCUCUCUUCAUCUGUCUUUCACCUUCUUUAGUUGGCACAUAGCCUAUCCCAUAUUUGAAAAACUUCUUUGGGAUUGCGAUAGGCUCGAUGAUCCCAUUCGAAUUCUUUCCUAAGUCACGCUGAGCUCAAAACCGCUUCUCAGCAUAACAAUGGCCAAUAUCUUGUAAAUCGAAGGCAUUAGCUCGUAAGGAGUUAAGUCUUUCUCAGCUGCAUUCAUGAUCUCCACUAUAUAAAAGUAUCUUUCUUUCAGUACUUCUUCAACAUAGGAACAUAAACAUUAGGGUGACUCGGGCGGCUUAUUUCCCCAUGGAUGACCACUUUAUUAUUUUCCCACACGAAUUUCAUCGAUUUAUGCAAUAUUAAAGAAACGACCCCCACUGCAUGAAUCCAAAGGAUUCUUAAGAUAAGAUUAUAACUUGUAGAAAUGUCCAUCACCUGAAACUCAACUAACAACUCUGCCAGCCCCAUUUGAAGAUGCAACUUGACUUCUCUAGUGGUGUUUCUCUGACCUCCGUCAAAAGCUUACAUUUACCAUAUUCUGAUGAAGUUUCCUUAUAUCACAGUUCAGCUGAGUCAGAAUAAAUAGUGGACAAAUAUUCAGACCUGGUCCAUCGUCAAUUAACACCCUGUUAACAACCUUAUUUGGCAUUUGGCAGUGAUAUGCAAUGCCUUGUUGUGCAUUACUCUUUCGAAGGGUAACUCAUCUCCUCCAAAGCUAAUAUAAUGAGAUCCUACCACUUUACUGAUCAUGGCCACCAAGUUUUCAGUAUUGGUGCCUAUGGGCAUGUAGGCUUCUUCAAGGACUUUCAGCAGAGCUUGUCUAUGAUAUUGAGAACUCAUGAUCAAUGCCCAAAUAGAAAUCUGAGCAGGGGACUUCUCUAAAUGUUUUACAAUAGGGUACUCCUUCGGCUGCAUUCUUCUCCCAAAUUCUUUGGCUUCCCCUUCAAUGAUUGGACUUUUUUAGCACUCUUUUUGUAUGCAUCAUUGGUAAGAUCCUGUGGAGUGUAGCAUCUCCAUAAUCUAGCCAUCCUUACGCAGUGGUGGCUUCUACCACAAAUUUUUCUCUAGCGGGAACUAAGGCAAAAGCUGGAUGAGGUGCGAUGAAUGCAACAAACUUGGGCUUCUCGAUAACAUUUUAAGCAGCCACUACCUUUUCUAUAUCUUUCAUCUUAUAUAUUUCUUUUAGGAUAGCCUUUGUUAUAGACUUUCUCACUACCCACUAGCCAUCUCUUUCUAUCAUGCUAAUGGUUGCCUAUUCAUUAUUAGGGAGUGGGUUGGUGGUAGCAUUUGGCUACACGGUUUAAAGCGAAAUCACCUUUUAAUUAAUCAAAUCUUGAAUCUUAUGCUUCAAAUUAAUACAAUCCUCAGUUAUGUGUCCAACACCCCUGAAUGAUAUGCAUAUGUUGGUCAGCAUAGAAGAAUCAGGAAUUGGUAUUGGCUGGUUUCGGUGGGAUAGGUUGGAUGUGAUCUGCUUUCCUUAGCCUUUCAAAUAAUUGAGUUUUGCUUUUAGCCAAACCAGUAAAACUUUUAGUGAAUUUCUUUUUGUUAUUCGGGCGAGGAAGAUUUUGGUAAGCAGAGAGGGACUUGAUGGUAAUUCUGGUUAACUGGGGCUCUUUGGUAGUCAUGGAAAUUUGGGAGUGGAUCUCGGUAAGUAGGCUGAUAAUUUGGCAAUAAAGCUGGGUAAUUCGAUUGAUUGGUAGAUAAAUUUGGCUGUUAAACUUGGGGGCUAGUUUCGGUGUAUAACACGAGUUGAGGAUUUUGUAGAGCUAGGGGAUAUAUAGGCGAUGAUGUUAUUUUCCCAUAACUGGGCUCGAAAGAUUUCUUUGACUUCGGGUUUGGACUAAAGGAUAUGAAAGACACAUCUUCUCUCUUUUUCUUUGGGAAUCCUGAAGAUCAAGGUUAUGAAGAGGUCUUGCUAAUUUUUUUUUGUCCUGAGUCCUUCUUUAACUGUUUCACCAAUCUUAACCAAGUCAGCAAAGGUAGCAGGAACUGCUGAUAUCAUUUUGUCAUAAAACUCUCCCUCCUGAGCUUGGGUAAACAUAACAACUAUUUAUUCUUUUGUCAGAGGAGGUCGUACCUUUGCUGCCUCUUUCCACUAAUGAUAGGUAUAUUCACAAAAGAAUUUAUUAGACUUUUGCUUGAUGCGGUUCACAUAAUAUAGAUCAGGAAUCAUCUCUACAUUAUAGGUAAAUAUUUCAACAAAAUCCUUGGCUAAAGCACUCUAUUCAGGCCACUUCUUCAGUUUCUAUGAAGCAAAUCAUUCUAAUGUUUCUCCACUCAGGCUUCGACAGAAGAGUCUCAUCAGCAAUGCCUUAUUUCUACCAGCACCUACAAUUUGGUCAUAAUAUCCUCUCAAGUGGGUCGUAGGGUUCCCAGUACCAUUGAAUGUCUCAACUUAAGAACAUUAAAUCCUUUAGAAAGGUUCAAGUCAGGGCGAAUACAAAGGUCAUCAUAACUGAACCCUACAGUAUUGAGCGAACCAUGUAUUUUCUUUAUCCUGGCGAUCUCUUCCUUUAUCAACAGUAGCUCCCUAGCAUAUUUGUCUUUAGGCCCCUUACUCUUCUUACCCAUCUCCUCAUACUGGUAAAUUUCUAGAUUUUGUGGGGAAGUAUGGUAAGAGGCAGGCACUACAAUAGCGUGGAUGGUGGAGUGAGACACAUUUUUUGGUCAUCGAAGGAUUUUGAGUGGUGUGAGCAAAGUUUUGGUAUGUAGGAAUUGGAUUUUGGGGAACGUUGACAUUGAGACUGAAAGUGGGGUGGGUAUUUUAGAAAGUGAAGGCAUUUGUGAAAGUGUUUUGGUAAUUUAGAGUGAAGCUUUGAGAGUGGUAAGUAUUUGGAUGAUUUUCUCGGUUGGUAUUAUAAAAAAGAGAGAUAUAGGUUUGACACAACAAAUUGAUGAUAUUAGUGAGAGGCCUGGGUAUAGAAUGGAGGGUAUGUCAUUUGGUUGGCUUCCACUGUUAGGAGACUUAAGAGAAGGGAAUCAAAGUGGAAGCACAUGGGUAUCCAAGACUGGCGUUUUAGUUGCAAUGGCCAAAUUAGCCAUAUCUUUUGCGUGUUGUAGUUCUUCUUGAAGCUCCUACAUUCUUCUAGUUAGUUCAGUGAUCAUCUCACCUUGUGUCAUUAUCACACCAUCUCUAAUAGUAAUUUCGGUGAGAGCAUUAUCAUCGCUACUAUCGGUCAUUCUUUAUUCUUCAGUUAAGCAAUGGUCAAGGGAGGAAUUUUUAUUUGCCUUAGAUCUAGUGAAAUAUUGAUCUCCAGCGAGUUUUAUAACCAUAGGUCAACUUCUACUUACUUGAUAUCAGACAACUCCAAAGGAAAAUAUGUUAGAUUCGCUUAGUGAUAAAUAAUGCAAGAUAUCCGACAUAAAGUAAACACAUAAAGUUGCUUUUAUUUUAGGUAAAUUGAUCCAUGAGUGGGUAUUAACUCGAAAGGAAUUAACGGGCGGGACUUUGUCCGUUGAUUUUUGGAUAAAUGGGUUUUGACAAGAUUUUUACCAAGGCUUCUAAUUUUGUACUCAUAUGACUUUCUUUGACAAAAUGAGACAUAAUGAUUUUAAAUGAUAGAGGCCACGAUGAAAGGAUGUGUACGUAUCUCACAAAGGAGAAAUCAGGUCAUACGUAGUUCAAAUAGGUAAGGAUAAAACUUCAUUUCAUUGAAAUCUCACUAGAGUUCGUUACAUUAGCGGAACAUGAAAAGAAAAAUGACAACAAAAAAAAAGAAACUAAAUGACUAAGUCUUAGAUAGAUGUGGGCAUUCCCACUUCAUUCUGCCUUUUCCACAUCUUGAUCUUCUAUGGGUGGUAUAGCAAAAAUUCCAACUCAACCCUUCCUGUAUCCACCAGGCUCUCUAAAUCUAUCUUAAAAGCAUGGAAAGUUUCCAAGUUGUGCCCUUCGAUGCCUCCAUUAUAGUGACAAAUCUCUCUGAAUUUCUUCCAAGCUUUAAAUAUCGUAUUAUGCUUCUUUUUCACUGGUUCCAGAAUUUUGGCAUUGAUGAGCUUUGAGUAGAUUUCAUGGUAGGUAUCUUCAAACCUUGUGAAGUCGUAUUUGUGAAUCUAUAGGUCAUUGGUGAUGGUCAUGCCUAGAUUAACCUGAUCGCAAUAAAGAAUGGUUUAUGGUCCCCAUAAAUUAUUUAUUUGACCAUCGCGAAUCUUGGCCUUCAGAGCAAAACACUCGUCAGUGGUAUGACCAGUUUAUUGGGAUCAUCCUUGGGAAAACAACAAAAUCCUUCUAUUUGAUCAUGGUGGAGGACCCCCAUAUUUCUUAGGAUUUGAUAAACUAUCGAGCAUGUUAUGAUCUAAGGAUACCGAGAGCAUGCUCUGAAGUGAGCUCUGCAGGUGAUCUUUUCACUUCCCGACCUAAUCCUAGUUGGCUAGAUGGCAUACCCUUUAGUAUUGGCCCAGCUUUCAUCUCUUAGGUUUGCAGGUGGAACUUGCUCAAACUUCUUUUUUUCCUGCUUGAUCAACUGGUUGACUUCGAUAAUUUCUUUGUCGGCCUGAUCAACCUUCCUAAUCAGUCUUUUGAUUUCUUCUUUUUGCAUUUCCUCCACUUGGGCUAACUCUACUAUCCGUCUUUUCAUUUGUGUGGUCCAUGAAUCCAUGAAAAAUUUUCUUGAAAGAAUAGGAAUAUGUUUAUCAAGAAAGCUAAAGAAAAUAGUUGACGACUUCUUGAGAAACUUGGGGAGCUGGAAUGUCUUGGGCAAACUUUUGAUAGUAAGAAUAUAUUUUGCCUAAAGGGUUUUCAAGGAUUUAUUGAGUUGUGGAUCAAUUUACCUUUGAUUAACAAUACACAUAGCACUUAAACAGUUAUAUCACAUAAUACAUUUAUAUUUCACAACAAUAGAAUAAUAAAUAACGAGCCCUAAUUGGGUGACACUUUUGAGCCAAAGGUUGUCCUAGAGAAUUUGAAGGAAAUAUAUGUCUUUUAAACCAAUAAAGUAUCCCUCAAAAUCUCCAUAGAUAUUUAUAAAUCCAUAAGUGUUGACAAAAGUUUCAUAAGGGGAUACAAUCUUUAGGGAAAGGGGAAAUGAUAUGAAAAGAACAAAGUCCCACACAGGGGAUAAAGACUAACUCCUAGAUGCUCCUCCAUUGGCGUUCGAUCUCUUAGAAUUAUCCACCUCUUGACAUAUGUGAUAUAUGUUGAUGACCAGAUGACUCCCGCAUAAUUAUACUUUAUUCUUGUAGGUUGUCUCCCCUAUGCUAUCAAUUUGAUAAGCUAUGUGAUCAUGCAAAUUAAGCAAGCAUUGUCUUGUAUCAAUAACCUCUUACCUAGAUCUAUUUAAAUCUUCCCUCAACAGAUGUAUAGUUGAGGCAUCCUCCAUAUGCAUAUGCUGGUAUGCCAUUUCACUUCUUUAAAAUUCGUCCUGAAGCCUAUUGAGCCAGAUCUGGUGUUCUUACUCUACAUCAAUUAUUUGUGUGGGUACAUUCGCACCCAGUACCAAUGUUCCAGCAAGAUUCUCCUUCAACCACUCUUUGUAGGUAUCACUAACCUCAGGUUCAUACCCAAUACAAAAGGAGACUUCUUUGGUAUUUCUUCUUCUCCACCGAUCUACCAUGUACUAUUUGAGUGGAGUUUCACCUUCAUCAUACUUGGUGAUGAAUCUAACCAUAGGCGUUGUUUAUGAUAUUUCCUGCUUGAUUUCAAACUACCUAAGAACCCUGUCGGGGUUGUAAGGACGAGUUCUCCUAAGACCUGGAAGUAUUAAAAAGGCCAUUCUUUUCCUCAAGUGAUGUACUUCCCUGGAUGAAGAUAUUUGAUAGACCACUGAACGUUGUCCUCUCUCAAUUCCCCAAAAACCUUGAACCGAAAUCCCAGAGAGUCUAUCAUCUUAAACCUGUACAAGGAUAGCCAAAUGUCAUGUGAUGAUAAAAGAUCUACCCUUUUCCAAGGGUCUGGCUUCUUUACUCUGGUAUUUUUCAAUAAAUGUUUCAUCAUCCACCAUUGAAAUAUAAGGUUGCACCCUUGGAAGAAACGAUUCCUACCUUGACACAUUCCCAAAGCCCUAUAUAUUUUAGCGAUAAUCAUGGAAGCUAGAGUAUGGAAUACUUUAGUGGUUUUGUAAUCUACUUCUUAUAGGAAGGCGUGCAUUACCAUAACAACUCUUAGAUUAAUGGUGUCAUUCUCUCCUUGCAGGAACACCAUAGUUCCAAGCAAACCUACAGCGAAAACAAAUGCUCUUUUCUCCCUCCAUUUUGACUCUGAUUUGAAUUUGUGUCCAAACUUCUAAAAGCGUUAUACUUUUUGAACCAGCUAUAUAGAUCACAAAAAAGGUAUGUUAUCUCUAUCAUGUUCCCCCAACCAGGUAUCAUCGUUGAUCAAAAAGGCAUCUUUGAUCUCCUGACGGUUUCAUAAAGUAGGGACUAUAAUACUUUUUUCGGGUGCACUCCUUCUUUUUUUCCUAUACAUAUGAAGUCUCUCAUAACAGGCCACUACUUCUUCAAUAGUGGGGUUCAAUUCGACUUCCUCAUAGCGAAACACCAUGUUGUCAUCAUUUGAGAAUGUUGUUAGUAAAUGGAUCAUUUCAGGACAAAUGUUCAUAUCUUGAAGCUCAGGUAGAUGCCCGAUAUGUGUACUAACAAUCUCUUUGUCUUUUUCACCCAUAUGAGUCCACCAUACCUCCAGGAAGUUAUCAGGUCCGGUAACCAUCUUUAACUUUCUACAAGGGUAUGCUUGAGCCAUUCCUACAUGAUAGAAAUAAAAGUAAGACUUCUCCCUACCCCAAAGGAUAAUUGAUUGGAUUAAACAGACAUAUAUUUUUUCAACACAUAAGCAUGAUUCGUUUGUAAUUGGCUCGUGGCUAAUAGAAGCAGAACAAUUUUUCUAAUGGGCCUAAUAUCCCCUCGAGUAUUGGGCCGCCCUAGGCUCAUGCCUAAAAGAAGAUUUUGGUUUCGCUCUAUCUUAGGUGUCUAGAGUGGGGCUUUGGAAUAGGUUCCCAAGCGGAAGACUUGGGUUUAGAAAUACGAACAGUCAUCGGACGCCUAACGUGACAAUAAACUGAUGUAUUUCCAGCAUUUGAUUUGGAGUUGAACAAUAGGGGUUGGGACAUCCACGAAAUCCCAAAUAAUUUAUAUAUUUUGAAUGCAGAAAUAUGUCACGAAAUGCAAUAAUUUAAAAUUUGCAAAAAUUUAAACACAUAAGAAGACAAACAGUGUAAAUAUUACAACCCAAAUAGUUAGACAAAGAAGUUAGCACACAUUUGGUUAGAACCUAGUGAAGUCCCCAGCAGAGUCACCAUUUCUUUUUUAUCCUUUUGCGGAUUUUACUUAAAAGAAAAUGGUUUUGACCCUUUUAAACUAUUUCGAAAGAUUUAAGAGAGUUUCAAAAUUAUUUUUGACAAAUUUAUAGAGUCGCCACUUGAUUUUUUUUAUCAAAAAUAUCAAGAAAACUUAAAGAGAUUUCAAAGAUUCAAAAACCAAAAUAAAUUUUUGAAAAAUAGAGAAAUUGAGUAAGGGUUCAAUUAACGCCCUUAGAAGAUUUUUACGGCACUUAGGAGCGUCUGUUUUAAAACGGUUCAUCAAAAGAUUAUAUUUUGACUAAAAAAGAGUGACUAACUUUGCAAAGGUUGAUUUUUUAAUAUUUAUAUUAUUUAUCCAUACAUCUAAAAAAUCGUAUUUGUUUGUUCAAACAAGGAAUAGCCUACUUGAAUUAGGAAAAAGCUAUAUUAUAUUCUACUUAAUUCAAUAUUAAUUUUGAGAAAAAUUACGAAAUAUUUCAUUUAGAUUGAGAAACAUUACGGAAUAUCUUGCUUGAGAAAAUAUUCUACUUAAUCACGAGGAAGCUAGAAUUUGAGAAAAACAAUCAAGGAAUAUGCUAGUUGGGAAACUUCAACUUAAUUCGUAAUUACUUCUAGAUAAAUAUAGAAUAUUUACUUCAAUUAAAAUAAACCUAUCUAAACUAGAUUACGCUUUUGAGUUUAUAGAGGAAAUAAGUUAAUUUUUUAAGGAAAUUGAGAAUUAUAUGAUUAUUUAUUAUUAUUGUCAUAAAUAUAGUCAUUUUGUUAUAAAUAACACCUUUGAAAUAUUUUAAGAAAGUAUCAUUUUAUCAAUUAUGAAAAAUUUGGAACUUGCGAGAAAAUUAGUUUCUUGAAUUUGAAGAUAAUUACUUUUUAACCCAAGUAGUCUAUCAGUCAAGUGAACAAGACAAGUGUUAUUUUCAAGUAGAGGACUUAAUGAUUUUUCUCUUUUAAAAAAAAAAUUAAUUUAGGAAUAGCAAUCGAAAGAACCACUUUAAUCCAUUUUAGAAAAAAUAAAUUAGGUGAGAAAAUUUGUGAAUUAAAUAUGGAAAUCGAGGUAAAACAAAUAGCAACAACAUGGGGAAACACCAGAUUAAUUAAUUAAGGUUAGUUCAAAUACAAAAUAAACAAGUAUAGCAGUUGCAAUUUAAGAGAAUAAAAGGUUAAAGUUGGAGUUGGGCCUUUUUUGGCCCAUCAGUGAGUUGCCCAGCCUUUGGGCUUCCCAUUUUAUGGAAUUUAGGUCCAUUUUCCUGUAGGGUAUACCACAUGUAUACCAGCUAUAUUCUUCUGCAUUUUUAUGUAUAUAUGGUGUAUAUAUGACUGUAUUUCAGUCACAUACACACAACUUUAGUCCUCCCCUGUAUAAUCAGCUUCCCUUUCACAUUUUCAGCCGUAGAUACUCAGUAUACUGGCGUAUAUCUGUGUAUACAACUUAGAAUCAUCCCAUUUUUCUUCUUGCAUUAGUCCAUUUUGGACUUGAUGUAGGUCUUGACUCGAUGUUUCAGCAACUUAGUCUCAAGGAAACAUAAGAUAUUGAGUCCAAUUGAACUCCAUUGGAAUUCAUGGAAAAAGCAAAGAAACAAAGGAUUAAUGAAAUGAAGAAAAAAGAAUAAAUAACUUUGUAUACUAGCUUGCUUAAUUAUAACAUAGAAGAGCAUCCAAUAAUAUUAGACAAAUCCCCUACUCCUAACUAUGUUAAAACAAUACAGAUUUCAAAAUAUUAAGACUUCAUGCAACAUUAAUCACCCCAGCAAAUUUCUUUAAGUUCUAUUACAUGCUUUGGCAUAUUACAAAACAUAAAUUAGGCCAAUCGAGCAGGUUAAACUAAAAUCUCUUCAAAACCAUUCCAUGCAUUAGAUUUCUAUGUUAUCUAUGUUUCAAACCUCCUAUGAAAACAUGCCUUUAAACCUAUAUCGACCCGAAUCAGGAUCUUUGAAAAAGGAUUUCAUAAGAGGGAAGUUGCUAAACUAACCAUAAUGAUAGGCAGGAACAAAGAAGACGAAAAGAAAAUCUCCUAGCACGAGACAUCACAAGUUACUAAUAAUGGAUCAAGAUUCGAUCUUUAUUUAAUACUUAGACAAAACAAGCUAUCAUCCUGCGACUCCCUCCUAUCAAAUAAACAUUAAGAAAGAACAUGCCAGUCGAGUCCAAACACAUAGAUUAACGUACUAAGUCAAAACAAAAAAGGAGCAAGAAGGUCGUCGAGGAGUCUUUGAUUUUGCAGUCCUUGGUUUUACAUUAAUUCCAAUAAGGCAUAAUGGAACAGUUUGCAUUGUAAUCACAUAAACACUAGGAUAACAUCUGUUCAUUCAAACGUUCAACAGGCAGACAUCGCAAGUUGCUAAACUUCAGAACAUAUUUUUUUAACAGAACAAGCCCCCUAAAGCCUAAAGCUUUCCAACCUCAAACACAUAUAAACACCUUAAUACCUUUACAUCCAACAACAACCAAAAGACAGUAUAAUGGAACAAUGGUCUUAACAAAAAUAGUGUCGAAAAGGCGGAGUUUGCACCUUUUUUGGAGCAGGAACGGGAACUUCAAAACUCUUCCGAACAAAUCCCACCACAAUUUCUAGUUGCCAUUAGGAUUCCAG